rnacentral:rRNA from 1 species
CUGGCGGCGUGCUUAACACAUGCAAGUCGAACGGUAAGGCCCUUCGGGGUACACGAGUGGCGAACGGGUGAGUAACACGUGGGUGAUCUGCCCUGCACUUUGGGAUAAGCCUGGGAAACUGGGUCUAAUACCGAAUAGGACUCCGGACUGCAUGGUCUGGGGUGGAAAGCUUUUGCGGUGUGGGAUGGGCCCGCGGCCUAUCAGCUUGUUGGUGGGGUGAUGGCCUACCAAGGCGACGACGGGUAGCCGGCCUGAGAGGGUGACCAGCCACACUGGGACUGAGAUACGGCCCAGACUCCUACGGGAGGCAGCAGUGGGGAAUAUUGCACAAUGGGCGCAAGCCUGAUGCAGCGACGCCGCGUGAGGGAUGACGGCCUUCGGGUUGUAAACCUCUUUCAGCACAGACGAAGCGCAAGUGACGGUAUGUGCGGAAGAAGGACCGGCCAACUACGUG